rnacentral:lncRNA from 1 species
UGGAACCUGGGAUUCAAGCCGCCAGGCAAAGUGCCCUAGCAGGGACUCUGGCUUAGUGAGAGUCUCUGUUUCCCCCUUUUCUUUCUUUCCACCCAAUAAAACCGGGUCUUACUCAUCAUUCAAAUUGUCUGCGAGCCUGAAUUUUUGUGGCCGUGGGACAAAGAACCCCGUCUUUAACGGAACUAAGGAAAAGCCCUGCAACAAUUUUGGCGCGCAACGUGGGGACUUGAGAAGCGGUUGAACUCUUUUGUGUCAACUAAAAGAACAUAUGAACAUAGCAGGGCUGUCAAGAUAAGGCCACAAGCUUGCCGAGUUGGGGACCUUUGAAAUACAAUUCUUACUGCCAUAGAACAUGAAGAUGCCUGGGAAUUACAAUAUCCAACCAUUUAAUUAUGUGAUGUCAUAAGAAAAUGGCUUUAUUUUUAUUUGUAGGACUGUGGAAUCAGUACCUUGUAUUUAUGGGUUUUUAAAUCUAAAGGCUUAUUAGAAAGCUAACAAUGGACCAGUUAACUUACUCAUUAUCAGUUGCACAUGAUAGCUAUACUGAGUGACUUUGAAGAAAGCUUGUGUUUUCAACAGAAUACAUUCUACUGUAAAAAUUCUGUCUGUAAAUGACACUUGCCAAGAUAAUUGCUAAUUGUAACUCAUCAAAAUAUGUGUCUGGUUCAAGAGCAACAUGUUUAUUACUCCGUAUAUAUUUAUUAUUUCUGUUGAAGCCAUCCUAGAGGGGCCCUCAACAUUAUUGCUUCUGCGUACAAUAGAACUUGACAUGUAAAAUUAAUCCCUUAAAGAUAUAUAUAAAUGAAUAACUAAAGCUGCAUAUAGGUGGAUUGGGACUGGUGAUUGAAAUGUAUCUGUUAUAAUUUAGUUAAGAUUUAGUCACUAUCUUAAGGAUAACAUGUUUGGCCGUGAGUAAAACAAGGUAGUGUGAAAUAAAACAGUAGGUCAGACUUGUUUCCUCCUUUCUUUCUACCCAUUCUCACAUUUGUCUCAUCUUAUAUUUAACUAAUUUUCCAG